rnacentral:lncRNA from 1 species
AAAGGAUUAUGUCACUGGAAGUAGUACAGUAUGUGAGUGAUGCUGCGUUUUGCAGUGCUGCUACAUACAGCGCUCCUCUCACUGACCACCAAUGAAAGAGGUGCCCCUUCUGGAAUUGUGGUGUGGGCAUGAUACAUGACCUCAGGGGACCUGCAUGUGGCCUGAGGGCCAUAGUUUGGGGACCCCUGGUCUAGGUUGAGCUGUUGACCAAUGGAGUCAUGCUGACUAGACCAAAAGGGGGCUGCUUUCAUUUAAUGAAGAGUACUUUAAGAAAACGGGAAGGUCUGUAAGCCAUAAAAUAAUGACUCUCUAAUGAUGGAAUUUCAAAACACUUCUCUACUCAGCGGAGGAGAUAUUUUUGAUCAGGAAAUUCUAUUUGAUGGUACUUGGAUCUCACCAGGUAGUGAUGUACCUCCCUACCUUCAUCCCCCUCAGAACAGAGAAAGAAAUACCAAGGACAUGCACAGUAAACAGAAAAACAUGAAGAUGCACACAGAAAGAGAUCUACUCACGAGAGGAAGCAGCUUUGCCCCUGAACCAGAAAGGAAUAUUGACUGGAUUCAAGACAGGACUUCCCAUAACAAGUCCAUCCUUUGGCACCAAAUAUUUUCUAUGUGUAUGCCUUAUUCCCAUCAGAAUCUAAGUGCAAAAUUACUCUUCCCCAGAACUGUGCAUAUUCUUGUGAAAAAAUGUUUCCUAGGCUCUUUUGGAAGAAAUGUUUUGUUUCAACAACUAUUACUCCACAAUCUUAGUAAAUGCCCUUUCUAAAAGCUAAUCAAGGCUCCUGGCUGAUUGUCAACAGAAAAAGUACUCUGGUAGGGACUCAUUAAUAAUUAUUCUAGAAAUCAAAAUCCUUCAAAGUUACCUCUCACAUCCUGAGAGGAGAAUUAGUCAACAAUUCUCUUGGGACACAAUCUUCAAGUGCUACUGGGGGUUGGGGAAAUAGUCCUGACAAAGGUUUUAUCCUUGCAGUUUUAACAUUUAUUAUAUAUAGUUGAUAUUUAAUAAAAAUUCAUUAAAUUGAUGAUCUAGCUAAGCU